GACGAACGCUGGCGGCGUGCCUAAUACAUGCAAGUAGAACGCUGAAGGAGGAGCUUGCCUCUCUGGAUGAGUUGCGAACGGGUGAGUAACGCGUAGGUAACCUGCCUGGUAGCGGGGGAUAACUAUUGGAAACGAUAGCUAAUACCGCAUAAGAGUAGAUGUCGCAUGACAUUUGCUUAAAAGGUGCAAUUGCAUCACUACCAGAUGGACCUGCGUUGUAUUAGCUAGUUGGUGAGGUAACGGCUCACCAAGGCAACGAUACAUAGCCGACCUGAGAGGGUGAUCGGCCACACUGGGACUGAGACACGGCCCAGACUCCUACGGGAGGCAGCAGUAGGGAAUCUUCGGCAAUGGACGGAAGUCUGACCGAGCAACGCCGCGUGAGUGAAGAAGGUUUUCGGAUCGUAAAGCUCUGUUGUAAGAGAAGAACGAGUGUGAGAGUGGAAAGUUCACACUGUGACGGUAUCUUACCAGAAAGGGACGGCUAACUACGUG
rnacentral:rRNA from 1 species